GUGAACGCUGGCGGUAGGCCUAACACAUGCACGUCGAACGGCAGCACAGUAAGAGCUUGCUCUUACGGGUGGCGAGUGGCGGACGGGUGAGGAAUACAUCGGAAUCUACUUUUUCGUGGGGGAUAACGUAGGGAAACUUACGCUAAUACCGCAUACGACCUACGGGUGAAAGCAGGGGAUCUUCGGACCUUGCGCGAUUGAAUGAGCCGAUGUCGGAUUAGCUAGUUGGCGGGGUAAAGGCCCACCAAGGCGACGAUCCGUAGCUGGUCUGAGAGGAUGAUCAGCCACACUGGAACUGAGACACGGUCCAGACUCCUACGGGAGGCAGCAGUGGGGAAUAUUGGACAAUGGGCGCAAGCCUGAUCCAGCCAUACCGCGUGGGUGAAGAAGGCCUUCGGGUUGUAAAGCCCUUUUGUUGGGAAAGAAAAGCAGCAGGUUAAUACCCCGCUGCUCUGACGGUACCCAAAGAAUAAGCACCGGCUAACUUCGUG
rnacentral:rRNA from 1 species